rnacentral:tRNA from 1 species
GGGAGUGUAGCUCAGUGGUAGAGCUUUCACAUUCCACGUGGGAGGCACUGGGUUUGAUCCUCAGCACCA